rnacentral:sRNA from 1 species
GUAUUCUCCACUGGUUGAAUGCAAAUGGAAGCCAGAGGAAAAGGGAACCCUUGACACAGUUUUCAUAUAGAUUGGCCUCCAGAGCAGACAGCAGGAGGGGGGUUUAAUCUGGACUGAAUUGGAGGAAAGGAACUGGCACCAGAGUGGAGGCUGGAAGGAUGGUGGAACUGACACUGGGACAGAACACAGAAAACAGAAUCUAAUGCUAUUGCUCUGGCUAUAUCAAAUAAAAGUGUCAAGAGUGAGCAUCCUUGCCUUGUGCUGAAUCACAAAGGAAUACCUUUCAGUUUUUCUCCAUUGAUUAUGAUAGCAGUGGGCUUUUCACAGUGGGCUUUAUUGUGUUGAGGUUUAGGUGCAGUCAUCUUGGAUUUGAGUCGUGCUUGUGAAUUUUCAUGUGUUACAACAACCAGAUUAAAUUUCUUCAAGUGGAAAUAUUAAGUCAAAGAAAUUACCUAUUUCUAAUAAUUCUUACUGAAGAAGUGAAACCUAGCAGGAAGAAUUGUAUUUG